GACGAACGCUGGCGGCGUGCUUAACACAUGCAAGUCGAACGGUAAGGCCCUUCGGGGUACACGAGUGGCGAACGGGUGAGUAACACGUGAGUAACCUGCCCUUGACUCUGGGAUAACAGUUGGAAACAGCUGCUAAUACCGGAUACGAACUUGGAAGGCAUCUUCCGAGUUGGAAAGCUCCGGCGGUCAAGGAUGGACUCGCGGCCUAUCAGCUUGUUGGUGAGGUAACGGCUCACCAAGGCUUCGACGGGUAGCCGGCCUGAGAGGGCGACCGGCCACACUGGGACUGAGAUACGGCCCAGACUCCUACGGGAGGCAG
rnacentral:rRNA from 1 species